GUGCUCGCUUUGGCAGCACACAUAAUAAAAUUGGAACUAUUCAGAGAAGAUUAGCAUGGCCCUACACAAGGAAUUAACCAAUGAGUGCAUAAAUAAGUGGAA